GGGGAUGUAGGCGAGGGGAUCAAGGCGGGGGAUUGUGAAUCCACC
rnacentral:tRNA from 1 species